rnacentral:rRNA from 1 species
CACUCCUGCGGGAGGCAGCAGUGGGGAAUUUUGGACAAUGGGCGAAAGCCUGAUCCAGCCAUGCCGCGUGCAGGAUGAAGGCCUUCGGGUUGUAAACUGCUUUUGUACGGAACGAAACGGCCUUUUCUAAUAAAGAGGGCUAAUGACGGUACCGUAAGAAUAAGCACCGGCUAACUACGUGCCAGCAGCCGCGGUAAUACGUAGGGGGCAAGCGUUAAUCGGAAUUACUGGGAGUAAAGCGUGCGCAGGCGGUUAUGUAAGACAGUUGUGAAAUCCCCGGGCUCAACCUGGGAACUGCAUCUGUGACUGCAUAGCUAGAGUACGGUAGAGGGGGAUGGAAUUCCGCGUGUAGCAGUGAAAUGCGUAGAUAUGCGGAGGAACACCGAUGGCGAAGGCAAUCCCCUGGACCUGUACUGACGCUCAUGCACGAAAGCGUGGGGAGCAAACAGGAUUAGAAACCCCAGUAGUCCCA